rnacentral:rRNA from 1 species
UAGGUUAACGAGGCGAACCGGGGGAACUGAAACAUCUAAGUACCCCGAGGAAAAGAAAUCAACCGAGAUUCCCCCAGUAGCGGCGAGCGAACGGGGAGCAGCCCAGAGUCUGAAUCAGCUUGUGUGUUAGUGGAACGGUCUGGAAAGUCCGACGGUACAGGGUGAUAGUCCCGUACACCAAAAUGCACAGGCUGUGAACUCGAAGAGUAGGGCGGGACACGUGGUAUCCUGUCUGAAUAUGGGGGGACCAUCCUCCAAGGCUAAAUACUCCUGACUGACCGAUAGUGAACCAGUACCGUGAGGGAAAGGCGAAAAGAACCCCGGCGAGGGGAGUGAAAAAGAACCUGAAACCGUGUACGUACAAGCAGUGGGAGCACCUUCGGGUGUGACUGCGUACCUUUUGUAUAAUGGGUCAGCGACUUAUAUUCUGUAGCAAGGUUAACCGUAUAGGGGAGCCGCAGGGAAACCGAGUCUUAACUGGGCGUUAAGUUGCAGGGUAUAGACCCGAAACCCGGUGAUCUAGCCAUGGGCAGGUUGAAGGUUGGGUAACACUAACUGGAGGACCGAACCGACUAAUGUUGAAAAAUUAGCGGAUGACUUGUGGCUGGGGGUGAAAGGCCAAUCAAACCGGGAGAUAGCUGGUUCUCCCCGAAAGCUAUUUAGGUAGCGCCUCGUGAACUCAUCUUCGGGGGUAGAGCACUGUUUCGGCUAGGGGGUCAUCCCGACUUACCAACCCGAUGCAAACUACGAAUACCGAAGAAUGUUAUCACGGGAGACACACGGCGGGUGCUAACGUCCGUCGUGAAGAGGGAAACAACCCAGACCGCCAGCUAAGGUCCCAAAGUCAUGGUUAAGUGGGAAACGAUGUGGGAAGGCACAGACAGCCAGGAUGUUGGCUUAGAAGCAGCCAUCAUUUAAAGAAAGCGUAAUAGCUCACUGGUCGAGUCGGCCUGCGCGGAAGAUGUAACGGGGCUAAACCAUGCACCGAAGCUGCGGCAGCGACACUAUGUGUUGUUGGGUAGGGGAGCGUUCUGUAAGCCUGCGAAGGUGACCUGUGAGGG